rnacentral:misc_RNA from 1 species
AUAUUUUAUGAAUUUUAUUCUAAACUUGACGUUAGACAAAUAAUGCAAUUUAGAGUUCGGGUUUAGCUAUAUCAAUUCUGACACUUGAAAUGCAUUUGGAACGUCUAAAAAUAAUAGGAUCGACUGUAAAAUUGAUUAUAUAGUGGGACGGCCAACCGAGCAGCCGAAAACUUGGUCCUGAACUUUGAUGGGUUAUCACUGAUCCGAUCGCACCUAAACAAAACCAAAAAAUUGUUAAUAAUUUUCAGGUAAUUAUUUUUAAUUUAUGAGAGUUGAAAAGGCAUGAGAAUCUCACAAAAAAUUGCCUUUUUUAAAUGGUGUCCGAUCGGUGCGGGGUUGGUUCUAUCUCGAAGGUUUCGUCAUGCUGAGUUUAUCGGUGGUCUUGAAUCGUCGAUUCAACUAUCAGAUCUCUGGAAAAGUGGAUGAAAAGUGGCAAACCUAUUUCUUUCUCUCUCCUCGUUUUGUGUGAAUCUAGUGGCUGCCGGCGAUGAGGCUGGUCAAAAAAGCUUCCUCAAGUGAAGGGGAGUCAAUGGAGACCAAUGGUGUCACCGGACUAUGGUCGGAAUGGCCAGCGUGACUCUCUCCGUCUUUCUCUCACUUCUCUCUCUCUCCUUCUCUCUCUACAGCUGCUGGUGCUUUUCCGUCAGCUUCCAUGGCUGUUGGUGCUUUUCCGUCGGCUUCCAUGGCUGCUAGAGGUCGGCCAGUGUGUUCGGGACGGUUGGGGAACGUCAUCGGCAUUGCUGGUUGGCCGAGGAAGAAGAAAUAGGGGGAAAUGGGGUGGGUGGUGAAGAGGGAUGAAGAGAGAAGGGGAGGGCGGGGUUAUGGGG